CUGUACACCUACAGGGCCGGCCUGGAAUGUGGAAGGUAGAAUUUCAACUCUUUCCCUCCCGGUCUAGUCCUUCCUGCUGUAAUGCUCCUUUGGAGGUCCCAGCUGACAGAGUCAGAGCACAGCAUGGCUUUGCUCUAACUAAUUGCCAACAGUUGGCUGAAGCUACAUUUGUUAUUCAAAAAGCCUCAUUAAUCUCCUAAUGCCAGUGUAGCCAUGGCUGCUAAUGGUGCCUCUCAUCUCCCCACACCCAGUUCCGGAUGGGGCAUCCUGGCUCCUGGCAGCAGAGCAGCAGGAAAUGGCUUCCUUCUCAGAAGGCUAAGCUAGUAUCUGGGGUCAUGGAGCCGGGCUGAUUUAGAACCUGGCUGAGUUCCACCUGUGGAUGGAGUGGUACUAGGAGGCUGGACUCAAAUCUGGGUCAUCCUUGGGUCACAGAGCCUUGGAAUGGUUCAGAGAGGGGCUGUCAAGCAAAGAAUGAGAAAGAGCGCAAUGAACCUGAUGGUUUCAGACAUAACUGGGAAGAUCUAGAAAGCAUUCACCUUCUUAAGGCUACAACUGAACCUAUUUCCAGGUGAUUUCUUAACUUCAGGAAAGAAGUAAAGCAGAAUGGAUCAUCCCAAACACUGGUGGCCUCUGGGGCAAGCUCCCUGUAUAACUGGAAGCUGACAGAGCGAGAUCUCACCUCAGGCUUCUGGCACCUGUUUCAUUCAAGAUCAGUUACAGCUGUGGUUCUCAAUCCUGAGCUAGAUCAGAAUUACCUGAGGGAGUUGUUAAAACCCAGACUCUGGCCCCAUCCUCAGCCUCUGAUUCAGCUUGCGUGGGGUGAAGCCUGGGGGUUUGCAUCUCUUAAACAUCCCCCGAUACUUACCUGGGACCAGACUGGGAACCACUGAGCUCGGCUCCGCUUUGGCAACAACUCCUGAAUCUCAGUGACUUUGCACCACAGAAGUUUAUUUUUCGCUUGUGCUACCCAUGGAUAAGAAAGAGUCAGUGCAGCUCUGCUCCACAUAGUCACUCAAGAGCCCAGGCCCACUUAGGUCCCCCCACCCACCUUAUAGCUGCAGCUUCUGGAACAUGUGACCUUCUUGGUUGCUGUGGCACAGGAAAAGAAACUGAAGAAUCAUGUGUGGGCUUUUAACUGUCUCAGCCCAGAAGUGAUGAUAUAAGCCACAUGCACUCACAUUUCACUGACCAGAGCUACUCACAUGGCCCUGCCCACAUUCCAGGCAGGAGUCUUCCAUGUCUCUAGAAGAAGUGGAUUGGAUGUUGGUGAAUGCUUGUACUUGUGGGGACAAGAAUGACUUUAUUUUAAAUGGUAAUUCAUCAUGUAACUUAUGACUAACCCCGAGUCCAGGAAUGCCUCCAAAAUGUCUAGUUGAUGUAUUACUCUUUAUGUAGGAACAUCUAUUCAUUGUAAGUUUCCUCCAAAACAACCCUUGUAGUUGCAGAAAUCAAAGGCUGUGACACCCAUAGCCAUCUACACAUCCCUUCCAGAGCAUGUAUGCUUUUUCUUCAAGAUAUAAGCCCUGGGUCUGGGGGGUGUUGUGGUGCAGAGAUCUACCUGUCUUGGGACCACCCAAGACCUUGCUUCUGCCUGUAAGUUCCCCAUAAUAAAUCAUUCAAAACUGAC
rnacentral:lncRNA from 10 species